AUAUGCCUACGGGGGGCAGCAGUGAGGAAUAUUGGUCAAUGGCCGGAAGGCUGAACCAGCCACGCCGCGUGAAGGACGAAGGUGCCAAGCAUUGUAAGCUUCUUUUGUCAAGGGACAAAAUCAGGCUCGAGAGCCUGACCGAGGGGACUUGAAGAAAAAGCAUCGGCUAACUCCGUGCCAGCAGCCGCGGUAAUACGGAGGAUGCGAGCGUUAUACGGACUUAUUGGGUUUAAAAGGUGCGUAGG
rnacentral:rRNA from 1 species